rnacentral:rRNA from 1 species
UUGAGCGGCCGGAGUGCUUGCACUUUGCUGACGAGCGGCGGACGGGUGCGUAACACGUAGGAAUCUGCCUGGUAGUGGGGGAUAGCCCGGAGAAAUCCGGAUUAAUACCGCAUACGCCUUACGAGGGAAAGCAGGGGAUCUUCGGACCUUGCGCUAUCAGAUGAGCCUGCGUCGGAUUAGCUGGUUGGUGGGGUAAAGGCCUACCAAGGCGACGAUCCGUAGCUGGUCUGAGAGGAUGAUCAGCCACACUGGGACUGAGACACGGCCCAGACUCCUACGGGAGGCAGCAGUGGGGAAUAUUGCACAAUGGGCGAAGGCCUGAUGCAGCCAUGCCGCGUGUGUGAAGAAGGCCCUAGGGUUGUAAAGCACUUUCAGCGAGGAGGAAAGGUUAAAGGUUAAUACCCUUUGGCUGUGACGUUACUCGCAGAAGAAGCACCGGCUAACUCCGUGCCAGCAGCCGCGGUAAUACGGAGGGUGCGAGCGUUAAUCGGAAUUACUGGGCGUAAAGCGUGCGUAGGCGGCCUUUUAAGUUGGAUGUGAAAGCCCCGGGCUCAACCCGGGAACUGCAUCCAAAACUGGAAGGCUCGAGUGCGGGAGAGGAGUGUGGAAUUUCCUGUGUAGCGGUGAAAUGCGUAGAUAUAGGAAGGAAC